GGGGCCGUAGUCUAGCCUGGCUAGGAUGCCGGCCUGGGGGGCCACCCCCGUAUUGAAAUUGACCCGGUGCGCCGGUGAUCCCGGGUUCAAGUCCCGGCGGCCCCA
rnacentral:tRNA from 1 species